ACUAGACUCAAAAUCAAAAGCUAGGGUUCCAUCGAAAAGUUGUCAGAUUCGAUUUCGCCGGUGAUUAAAUCCUGUGAGAAGGGCUUUGAUUUCUCUGGAAAGCGUUGGAAACUUUUUCUGUUGAGAAGGCUCAAUUUGGCGGGGUCUUGUUAUCUCCGCUACCAAACUCUUUGGUGAUCUCUAUCGACUUUUCUGCAGCAAGUCAAAACUAUUUAACACCGGUUAAAUGAUUUAUGGGUGGAUAACAGUGGUGGUGGCAGAGGAAGAGAUCGUUGUUUUUGUGGUGAUGUAAGGAGCGGUGGCAGAGGAAGAGACGGUUGUGGCCGUGGAUUCAGACUUAGUUUCACUACCUAAGGAUCAAUGAGCAGGUGCAGUUUGAAUUAUAUUACAUGUAUGUUUACACGAUGGAUGAUAGUGUUUGGACGAGAAUGAAGACGACGGUGGAUUGGCCAGUGUUCUGAAAGUAGUCAAGGAAGCUCGCUGUGGAUUUUUAAAAGGUCUAUAUGUGUGAGAAGAGGACAACUGGAACCAUAUGCUUCAAGACGAUGGAAGAUAUAUGAUGCAACACGAAUACAAGAGCUUAUGAAGAAAAUAAAACUAUUCAAACUCCAACCGCUUGCGAAGACUGAAGAGGCUUCUAUACUUUGCUUAAUGUUGUGUGUAUGUCUUUUUGCAUCAAUAAUCCAGUUCAGUGUUAACUAUGUUUAUGGAGUUUAAUAUCUGAGAGUGUUAAGCUUUUAACUGAAUAAAUGUAUAGAGAUAGUUCCUUCGUCUCUACCUUCUCUUGAAUCUGCAGUUUUUCAUAUGUUUUUACU